CCCUUAGAUGUUCUGGGCUGCACGCGUGCUACACUGAUUAUUUCAACAAGUGUUUUAACUGGAGAGUUUGCGUAAUCCUGAAAUGUUAUCGUGAUGGGAGUAGAGUAUUGUAUUUGUUAAUCUUUAACGAGGAAUUCCUAGUAAGUGUAGGUUUAUAAGUUGUUCUGAUUACGUCCCUGCCCUUUGUACACACCGCCCGUCGUUCCUACCGAUUGAUUGAUCCGGUGAAUUACAUAGAAUUUUGCGUUUUACAUGACGGAAGACGAAGUGUUUUAAACCUUAUCAUUUAGAGGAAGGAGAAGUCGUAACA
rnacentral:rRNA from 1 species